rnacentral:rRNA from 1 species
CCUACGAGUGGCAGCAGUGAGGAAUAUUGGUCAAUGGGCGUAAGCCUGAACCAGCCAAGUCGCGUGAGGGAUGAAGGUUCUAUGGAUCGUAAACCUCUUUUAUAAGGGCAUAAAGUGUGGGACGUGUCCUAUUUUGUAUGUACCUUAUGAAUUAGGAUCGGCUAACUCCGUGCCAGCAGCCGCGGUAAUACGGAGGAUCCGAGCGUUAUCCGGAUUUAUUGGGUUUAAAGGGUGCGUAGGCGGCCUUUUAAGUCAGCGGUGAAAGGCUGUGGCGAAACCAUAGCAGUGCCGUUGAAACUGGGUGGCUUGAGUAUUUUUGAGGCAGGCGGAAUGCGUGGUGUAGCGGUGAAAUGCUUAGAUAUCACGCAGAACCCCGAUUGCGAAGGCAGCCUGCCAAGCCAUGACUGACGCUGAUGCACGAAAGCGUGGGGAUCAAACAGGAUUAGAUACCCUGGUAGUC